UUGCUGUUUCAUAAUUAUAAUCCAUGUUAGAGUGAAUUUUUCCCUUGGCUGCUAUAAUCUGUUCUUGAGUUACACAACGUAAUUUCUCUUUUUUUUUUCUCUGAGAUUCUGCUUAGAAAAUGAAGUUAUGAAGUUAUAUCCUCCCGCUGCCUUUCGUUUUAAAAAUGGUUUGCAUCGCAACACCUCGUGUUUCUGAGCCAUGAUCGCUGUGCUGAUUACCUUUCCAUUGGAUCCAAGCACCUGGACCAGCUGAUGGCGUCCAUCAGUCCACUGUCUGCCGGAUCAUCACAACAUGGACUAACUUUUUAUUUACUUGGUUAAACUAUGAUCUGGAAACCGGAGCACCAGAUAUGCAAAAAUCUACCUGCAGACUUUGUUGGCUACCCUGACACUGCAGUCAUCCUGGAUGGGGCUGAGCCGCUCUUCCUCUCCUCCAGAGUGACGAGUUUUCAUCACCAGUAAAGGCAAACAAGUCUGACGUCUGAUUAGCUGCUAGAAAGUAUAUUAUAUAUUCACUGUUCAUUUUGCUAUCCUGUUUGUACCUACAAUAAAAUUGAAUCUCAUUUGUAAUACUCU